rnacentral:rRNA from 1 species
AUUGAACGCUGGCGGCAGGCCUAAAACAUGCAAGUCGAGCGGAGCGGCGAACGGGUGAGUAAUGCCUAGGAAUCUGCCUGGUAGUGCGGGAUAACGUCCGGAAACGUGCGCUAAUACCGCAUACUAUCAGAUGAGCCUAGGUCGGAUUAGAUAGUUGGUGCGGUAAAGGCCUACCAAGGCGACGAUCCGUAACUGGGCUGAGAGGAUGAUCAGUCACACUGGAACUGAGACACGGUCCAGACUCCUACGGGAGGCAGCAGUGGGGAAUCGUGGACAAUGGGCGAAAGCCGGAUCCAGCCAUGCCGCGUGAGGGAAGAAGGUCUUCGGAUUGUAAAGCACUGUAAGUUGGGAGGCGUUACCAACAGAAUAAGCACCGGCUAACUUCGUGCCAGCAGCCGCGGUAAUUC